rnacentral:rRNA from 1 species
AAGAGACAGCGUCGCCGCGGUAAUACAGAGGGUGCGAGCGUUAAUCGGAUUUACUGGGCGUAAAGCGUGCGUAGGCGGCUUCUUAAGUCGGAUGUGAAAUCCCUGAGCUUAACUUAGGAAUUGCAUUCGAUACUGGGAAGCUAGAGUAUGGGAGAGGAUGGUAGAAUUCCAGGUGUAGCGGUGAAAUGCGUAGAGAUCUGGAGGAAUACCGAUGGCGAAGGCAGCCAUCUGGCCUAAUACUGACGCUGAGGUACGAAAGCAUGGGGAGCAAACAGGAUUAGAUACCCCAGUAGUCCCUGUCUCUUAUACA